rnacentral:rRNA from 1 species
AGAGUUUGAUCCUGGCUCAGGAUGAACGCUAGCUACAGGCUUAACACAUGCAAGUCGAGGGGCAGCAUGGUCUUAGCUUGCUAAGGCCGAUGGCGACCGGCGCACGGGUGAGUAACACGUAUCCAACCUGCCGUCUACUCUUGGACAGCCUUCUGAAAGGAAGAUUAAUACAAGAUGGCAUCAUGAGUCCACAUGUUCACAUGAUUAAAGGUAUUCCGGUAGACGAUGGGGAUGCGUUCCAUUAGGAUAGUAGGCGGGGUAACGGCCCACCUAGUCUUCGGAUGGAUAGGGGUUCUGAGAGGAAGGUCCCCCANAUUGGAACUGAGACACGGUCCAAACUCCUACGGGAGCA